AUUCUGGUUGAUCCUGCCAGUAGUUAUAUGCUUGUCUCAAAGAUUAAGCCAUGCAUGUCUAAGUACACACGAAUUAAAAGUGAAACCGCAAAAGGCUCAUUAUAUCAGUUAUGGUUCCUUAGAUCGUUAACAGUUACUU
rnacentral:rRNA from 1 species